GACGAACGCUGGCGGCGUGCUUAACACAUGCAAGUCGAACGGAAAGGCCCUGCUUUUGUGGGGUGCUCGAGUGGCGAACGGGUGAGUAACACGUGAGUAACCUGCCCUUGACUUUGGGAUAACUUCAGGAAACUGGGGCUAAUACCGGAUAGGAGCUCCUGCUGCAUGGUGGGGGUUGGAAAGUUUCGGCGGUUGGGGAUGGACUCGCGGCUUAUCAGCUUGUUGGUGGGGUAGUGGCUUACCAAGGCUUUGACGGGUAGCCGGCCUGAGAGGGUGACCGGCCACAUGGGGACUGAGAGACGGACCAGACUCCUACGGGAGGCAGCAGUGGGGAAUAUUGCACAAUGGGCGGAAGCCUGAUGCAGCAACGCCGCGUGCGGGAUGACGGCCUUCGGGGUGUAAACCGCUUUCGCCUGUGACGAAGCGUGAGUGACGGUAAUGGGUAAAGAAGCACCGGCUAACUACGUG
rnacentral:rRNA from 1 species